GGUUGGUCCGAGUGCAGUGAUGUUUACAACCAAUUAAUCACAAGCAGUUACAGAUUCCUAUGUUCCUUCUCCACUCCCACUGCUUCACUUCACCAGCAAAA
rnacentral:Y_RNA from 1 species